rnacentral:rRNA from 1 species
GAUGAACGCUGGCGGCGUGCCUAAUACAUGCAAGUCGAGCGAACAGACGAGGAGCUUACUCCUCUGACGUUAGCGGCGGACGGGUGAGUAACACGUGGAUAACCUACCUAUAAGACUGGGAUAACUUCGGGAAACCGGAGCUAAUACCGGAUAACAUGUUGAACCGCAUGGUUCAACAGUGAAAGACGGUCUUGCUGUCACUUAUAGAUGGAUCCGCGUCGCAUUAGCUAGUUGGUAAGGUAACGGCUUACCAAGGCAACGAUGCGUAGCCGACCUGAGAGGGUGGUCGGCCACACUGGCACUGAGACACGGUCCAGACUCCUACGGGAGGCAGCAGUAGGGAAUCUUCCGCAAUGGGCGAAAGCCUGACGGAGCAACGCCGCGUGAGUGAAGAAGGUCUUCGGAUCGUAAAACUCUGUUAUUAGGGAAGAACAAAUGUGUAAGUAACUAUGCACGUCUUGACGGUACCUAAUCAGAAAGCCACGGCUAACUACGUG